rnacentral:piRNA from 1 species
UCGUACCACGCACACAAAGAAAGGAUAAGC